CAGCCCCACAGCACAUCUGAUAUCGCUGAUGUGCUUUUCCUGUGUGAUAAAUGGACACCGUAGCUUAGUAUUUAGGGACCAGACAAGCUGAGUUCAAAUCCCUCCUCUGCCUAUUCCUGGAUGUUUCUGUUUCCUCUCUGCAAAUGGAGCUAUGAGUAAUAACAUAUCACGGCAUUGUUGAAAGGCUUAGAUCAUCUAAUGCAGCUACAGUGAUUAGAACAGGACCUAAUCUCAAAGGGUGCAAUAAACAGUAGCUCUUAUUUUUACUACGAACGGCAAGUGCAGAGGAUACUAUGCUUUUCUGUCAGCUCAGGAAACUGGGUAGCUGAGAUGUAAAUGACACGUCCAAGGUCACCCAGAAAACACACAGCAGAGCCAGGAUUUGAACUCAGGCCCAGCUGAGCCAAAGCCUACUUUCUUUGUGUCACCAUGCACCACCUCCUUCCACAUCUAGCCCUGGGAGUGUGUGAUCGCUGGGGCUGGGGGCUGCUGAGUGCUGGGAUAGGGGAUAGCAUUUUACCAGGGUCCUGGGGGCUAGUGGCUGACCAGAUCCAUGCCCUCCUUUCCCUAGCCUAAUGCUGCAGAUCUCAAGAUGUCAAAAGGGGUGAUGUCAGACAGUCAUGCUGGGUGGGAAUGGCUCUGAAAGCCUGCAGCCCCUUCCCUUCCCCGCAUGGAGCCUCAGCUUCCUCGCCUGUAGGUUGGGAUGAUCCGACAGAGGCGUUGUGAGUCUCAGCUGAGCUAUAACUCGUGAGAAAGCUUUUCGGACACAUAGAAGGCGAGGCCUCCCAGGUUGGAGGACAGGAAAGGAGCCCGUCUGAGUGGGGAAGGGAGCUGGCCGUGUCCACAGCUUCCAGCCCUCGGCCUCAGCCCCGGCCCACAGCUGGGCCUGGACUCCUGCUCGUGGCCGCCCCUCUCACGAGUCUGCGGGGAUUUCUCUGCUCCAGGCUGACCCCUUCCUUGUGGAGGAGGCUUCUGUUGCCGGAGUUGAAUCUCUGCAAUUGUCUGGCUUCUGCAGUGAUGCCGGGGGAAUUAAAUAUAGCUGCAGUAUGUACAAGACAUACCCUGCAGUGGGGGAACACCAUCAGGUGGGUCCCGCUGGGGCUGGGGACAUGGGAACCAAUAAUGUGUGUGGAACACUUAGUGGGGGCCAAGCCCAGGGCUCAGCAUGAUCACACUGAAUCCGUACAGCAGCCCCGCCAGGCAGGCACUCUGGAGCUUGUGACUUAACUUCCGCAUUCUGCUGCUUCUCUUUAGAAGAAUCGUA
rnacentral:lncRNA from 1 species